GCCCUUUGGGUCUUGCAAUUGGAAUGAGAACAAUUUAAAUCCCUUAUCGAGGAACAAUUGGAGGGCAAGUCUGGUGCCAGCAGCCGCGGUAAUUCCAGCUCCAAUAGCGUAUAUUAAAGUUGUUGCAGUUAAAAAGCUCGUAGUUGAAUUUCGGGACUGGUUGCAGGAGUAGCCUAACUGGCUGCAUCUUGUACACUUGUCCCUACCUUCUGGCGAGCCACGGUGCUCUUAACUGGGUGCCGUGGGGAACCAGGACCUUUA
rnacentral:rRNA from 1 species